GGCGCACGGUGGAUGCCUUGGUACCAGGAACCGAUGAAGGACGUGGGAGGCCACGAUAGGCCCCGGGGAGUCGUCAACCAGGCUUUGAUCCGGGGGUGUCCGAAUGGGGAAACCCGGCAGUCGUCAUGGGCUGUCACCCAUACCUGAACACAUAGGGUAUGUGGAGGGAACGCGGGGAAGUGAAACAUCUCAGUACCCGCAGGAAGAGAAAACAACCGUGAUUCCGGGAGUAGUGGCGAGCGAAACCGGAUGAGGCUAAACCGUAUACGUGUGAGACCCGGCAGGGGUUGCGUAUGCGGGGUUGUGGGAUCUCUCUUUCACGGUCUGCCGGCCGUGGGACGAGUCAGAAACCGUUGAUGUAGGCGAAGGACAUGCGAAAGGUCCGGCGUAGAGGGUAAGACCCCCGUAGUCGAAACGUCAGCGGCUCGUUGGAGAGACACCCAAGUAGCACGGGGCCCGAGAAAUCCCGUGUGAAUCUGGCGGGACCACCCGCUAAGCCUAAAUAUUCCCUGGUGACCGAUAGCGGAUAGUACCGUGAGGGAAUGGUGAAAAGUACCGCGGGAGCGGAGUGAAAUAGUACCUGAAACCGUGUGCCUACAAGCCGUGGGAGCGUCGGGCAAGCACUUGUGUUUGUCUCGUGACUGCGUGCCUUUUGAAGAAUGAGCCUGCGAGUUUGCGGUGUGUUGCGAGGUUAACCCGUGUGGGGAAGCCGUAGCGAAAGCGAGUCCGAACAGGGCGUUUUAGUAGCAUGCUCAAGACCCGAAGCGGAGUGAUCUAGCCAUGGGCAGGUUGAAGCGGCUGUAAGAGGUCGUGGAGGACCGAACCCACCAGGGUUGAAAACCUGGGGGAUGACCUGUGGUUAGGGGUGAAAGGCCAAUCAAACUCCGUGAUAGCUGGUUCUCCCCGAAAUGCAUUUAGGUGCAGCGUCGUGUGUUUCUUGCCGGAGGUAGAGCACUGGAUAGGCGAUGGGCCCUACCGGGUUACUGACCUUAGCCAAACUCCGAAUGCCGGUAAGUGAGAGCGCGGCAGUGAGACUGUGGGGGAUAAGCUCCAUGGUCGAGAGGGAAACAGCCCAGAGCAUCGACUAAGGCCCCUAAGCGUACGCUAAGUGGGAAAGGAUGUGGAGUCGCACAGACAACCAGGAGGUUGGCUUAGAAGCAGCCACCCUUGAAAGAGUGCGUAAUAGCUCAC
rnacentral:rRNA from 1 species